AGAAUAAUCAUCGUAUAGCGGAGGCCACAACUCUCUCUUGCGACGCUCUGUUCUCUGAAGGCCUAAAACGCGUGCACAGCGGAAAGGGUGAGAGAGAAACCCUAGAUUUCUUGCGACGUCAAUGGCCAACGACACUGCUCACCGGAAGCACCGCCGAUCUGCCUCCGAUGAAGAGGAUGAUAAGUCUUCGAAGCGUCACAAACACCGUCACCAUCGCCGCCACCACCGCCAUCGUCACAGCAGCAGCAGCAAGAACGAAGAAGAAAGCUACCGUGACCAGGAGGAUAGUCUUCCUCCUGUUUCUAAUCGUAGAUCUCGGGUUGAGGAUGACGUGGAGGAAGGUGAAAUUCUCGAAGAGGAUGACUCUGGCGUUCGCGCGAUGAAGGAGGCGGAUGCGGAAUUUGGGAAAGUUGAAGCUGAUGGAAUUUCCGAUAGAACUGACGAACCCUCUAUGGAAUGUCAUUCGGUGGAUGAAUUAUCUAAUAUUGAGGCUAAUUUAACUGUGAAAGAGGGAGCUGGAAAUAGUCUUCGAGAUCUGAAGACUUCAAAAGAGGAUGAUAAGUUCUCUAAUUCAGAUAAGGGCAAAGAUGGAUCUUAUCUAAAAAAAGACUUCGACAAGGAAAAUAUUAUGCUCUGUCAAACUGACCUUGGCCGUAAGCAUGGCAAUGAUGUUAGCUUUUCCAGAAAUGAAGCUUUUGGAACUAAAUACAAUGAUCGUGAAUGUAGCCUAGAGGGUCAUAGGAAAGGGAAUUUUGAUCAAGAAUAUCUAGAGUUAGAUGAGAGGCGGCAGAAACAAAUGUUAUCUCCUUCCACAGGGGGUAGUAAGAAAAUAAGUGACAUUGACAAUGGAAAGGCGGGGACAGAUGGAAUCACCUUGGGGAAUUUAAAAAGGCGACAGUUGGAAAGGACUGAAGACAAAUCCCAGGAUUUUACACCAUCAACAUCUCAUGAUCGACUUGUUGAUGCAUCAGAUUGUAGGAGUAGAUCAAGGUCAAAUUGUCACUCUAGAGGGCAAUCUCAUUCUCAUGAAACAGUUGACGAGGAGGCAGAGUCAAAGAGGAGACAUCAUCAUGGUUGGGACCACUCAAUAUUGGAUGAUAAAAGUAAAAUCCAACAUGACCUGGAUGAUGGUUAUACUGAAUAUGCAAGGGUAGAGGAAAGGCAGCGAAGCAGAGAUACAAAAGACAGAGGGAGAAGUAAGAUGGAGCUGGAUAGGGACUGGUCAAAGGAAAUUGAAUGGGAAAAGAGAAAAGAGAAAGAUAGGGGGAUAGAUAAGCACAGGUUUGAUGAGAGAGAGAAAGGAAGGAGUCGAGAAAGAAGGAGGGAGGUGGAGCGAAAUAGGAGCAGGGAAAGAGAGUUGGAUAGGGAUAGGAGGAGGGAAAGGGAGGUGGAAAGAGAUAGGAGAGUGGAGAAGGAAAGAGGUUGGAGUAGGGAAAGAGAGGUAGAAAGGGAUAGAAGAAUGGACAAGGAAAGGGGUUGGAGCAGGGAAAGAGAGGUGGAUAGGGAUAGAAGAGUAGAAAAGGAAAGAUGUAGGAGCACAGAUAGAGAGGCUAAUAGAGAUAGAAGAAGAGAAAGGGAAAGAGAUAGGAGCAAGGAUAGAGAGGUGGACUGGGAUGGGAGAAGGGAUAGGGACAGAGCUCGGAAUGAUGAUAAGGUUGAAUAUAAUGAUAGAAAUAGAGACAGUGAAAGGGCGAGAGAGAUGCAAAAAAACCGAUUUAGGGAUAAGGAAUUGGAUAGGGAGAGACGAGACGAUAGAAACAAGAAUAAAUCCAGUGACAUUUUAAGUAGUAAGGAUAAGUACGGGAAUCUUGAUCAUGACUAUGUAAAAACUUCUAGUAAGCAGUCUAGACAUAAUGAGAAUGAAUCUGGUCUGAAUGGAGGAAGAAUUAAUGCUACGGAAAAGCAUGGUAGUUCGAAGAGAAAUGCUCUUGAAGGAGGUGAAGACAAACUAAUGAGUGGUCAUGAUGAGGAGGAAGAUGAUGAGGACAUGUCAUUUCAAUUAGCUGAUCAAGAAGAGGAGGAUCUAAACAGAAUCAAGGAGGAGAGUAGAAGAAGAAGGCAAGCAAUCUUAGAAAAAUACAAAUGCCAGCAGUCAGAUAAAAAAGUAGAGCCUUCUUUGAAGGAACCUGAGAAAGAUAAGGAUUCUGCAAACGAUUCUUCUCAAUCAGAAGCUGCUGCUCAUACUGCUAUUCCAGAAUUGGUUGAUGGGGUGGAUGACAGUGUUGCCGACUCAUCUUUUGUUGUGGAGAAAUCACCACAACAAAAUGGAGUUGCUGCAUCUGAUAAAACUGCUGGUACUAAAGGACUUGGAGAGGGUACUCCAAAGGCUGAGGGGUCGGAUGGAUUAUUCUGUGAUGAUAUUUUUGGAGAAACACCUGCUGCAGUUCGUAAAAUGGGUAAAGGAGAUGGUUUGCGGAUAGAAAGGAGUGGUCUUCAUGACAAUUGGGAUGAUGCAGAUGGAUAUUAUAACUAUCGAUUUGGUGAAGUACUUGACGGUCGGUAUGAAGUUGCUGCUGCCCAUGGCAAAGGUGUCUUUUCAACUGUAGUCCGUGCAAAGGAUCUCAAAGCUGGUCAUGAUGAACCAGAAGAAGUGGCAAUCAAAAUUUUGCGUAGUAAUGAAACAAUGUACAAGGCUGGUCUGGAGGAGUUGGUCAUAUUGAAAAAGCUAGUAGGUGCAGAUCCAGAUGACAAGCGUCACUGUGUUCGUUUUCUUUCAAGUUUCAAAUAUAGGAAUCAUCUUUGUUUAGUUUUUGAAUCUCUUCAUAUGAAUCUCCGUGAGGUCUUGAAGAAAUUUGGGCGCAAUAUUGGCCUUAAGCUAACUGCUGUGAGGGCAUACGCUAAGCAGCUUUUUAUUGCCCUGAAGCAUUUGAGAAACUGUGGUGUUCUACACUGUGACAUAAAGCCGGAUAAUAUGCUGGUUAAUGAGGGAAAAAAUGUGCUGAAGCUUUGUGAUUUUGGUAAUGCCAUGUUUGCUGGUAAAAAUGAAAUCACCCCAUACCUUGUUAGCCGGUUCUAUCGUGCCCCAGAAAUAAUUCUAGGGCUGUCAUAUGAUCAUCCAAUGGAUAUUUGGUCUGUGGGUUGCUGUUUGUACGAGCUUUCUACAGGAAAAGUUCUUUUUCCAGGUCCUUCUAAUAAUGACAUGCUGCGGCUACACAUGGAACUAAAGGGCCCUUUUCCGAAGAAGAUGCUUCGUAAGGGAGCAUUUACUGACCAACAUUUUGACCAGGACCUGAACUUCCAUGCUUCUGAGGAGGAUCCUGUAACCAAAAAGACCAUAAAGCGAAUAAUAGUCAAUAUAAAGCCUAAAGAUAUUGGAUCAAUUAUUAGGGGAUCUCCUGGUGAAGAUCCAAAGAUGUUAGCCAAUUUUAAGGAUCUUCUGGACAAAAUUUUUGUGUUGGAUCCAGAAAAAAGGAUGACAGUAUCACAAGCAUUAAAUCAUCCAUUCAUCACUGUCUUCUUUAUGAUGACCUAAGCUUCUGGCACAAUUAUGGGAUGAUUGAAUUCAGAAGGGGUCAUAUUGGUCAGGAGUGGCGGGUUCUUUCAGUGGAAUGUACUGUUUCUAUUGAUGUCUGCUUCUGCCCUGAGAGAACCUUCCAGUGCUUAAGUGAUUUAGAGGCACUCAGGAGAAGGUACCUUAUUGUUAAAUGAGUAUAGUGAUCCAGUUCUAAUCCAUUAAUGCUACUGUAAAUGUCCACAUUUGCCUUAUUUAGACAUAGGUCAGAUUCAUGUUUAUGAAUGACUAUUGUCUGUUUUAUUAUUCAAAAUCUAGCAAGUGGAGGUUUCUCGGGGGAGGAGGAUAUGCUAGCAAUUCAUAAGGGAAUCUUUAUUUUCAGUACAAUGGGAAUUGUUAUUUACCAUCUCUAUAUAUAUAUAUAUUUUAUAUUAGAGCAGAAUCACCUCUUUAUAUUAAUCCAUUCAUAAAGGUAUCUUUAAUGUGCAUGCAAUUGUUAUAUGUUUUCUAGAAUAUUUUGAACCAUUGAUGAUUGCGCAACAUCUUUGAAUGUUGCUUGGCAUUAUUGAUAUCAUACUAAACUAUAGUAGUUUUCAAAAUUUAUCUGAUGUCUUAAGUUGUUUGAUUGAAACCUAAUGAAUUACAUUGUGCUGAUCCAUGCUAUGGUCGUUUAUGGAGGCACUUGCAUUGCAGAGGUUAACUGCUGUGGCACCAUAUGAAGUAGUGUUGCAGGCAAACUUCCUAUCAUCCAUCCUGUCUCUUGUAAGUAUUUCCAAUUCCAUAUAACUAUUGCACGGUCAUAUUCUUUCUUAUUAUUUUUUUAGAAAGAAUGCAAUGAUUCAUAACCUUACUUGAACAGGAUCUGUUCUAUAGAAAGAAUGCAAUGAUUCAAAUUUAUGGAAGUAUUUAGGAUAGUACAUGCAGUUUCCUUUUGUCGUUGCACAAUAAUUUGAAGAUAAUGAAACCAUUAAACUAGCAGAGGUCCUGAUCCGAAAAAAAUUGCAUGAAUCUGAAAAGCAAAAAAUGCAUUCUAUUUCUGUCCGACUUAUGUAUGGAAGUUCUUAUUUUAUCUUAUGAUUUUUGCAUUAAUAUUUAUGUGGGCCUUUGAAAUAUCUGUGGAAGUGUUACAAUGAUUUUGGUUUCAAAUUAUAUUACUUCCAUGUAUUUAUCAUUAAAAUUAUUGAUCAUUCUUCUAAAACAAUAUUUAAUUAGAAAUAAGAUAUAUAAGUAAAAGAAUUAAGAGGCCAUAUGUAUAUCUGUAGAAGAAAAAACUUUCAAUUAGAGAUGCAAAUUUGCAGAAGGAUGCUAAGAAGCUUAUGCUUGUACUUGAGAAGUUUUAUUUUUUGAUUAUGUUUAAUAUCAUUUAAAAUACAAUAAAAAAUAAUGAAUGAAAUAUUCAUUGGAUAAAAUAAGACACUUGAAGAAAGGCCCAUUCUAAAUAAGCAAGUUCUUAGCGAUUCAACAUUUCGGAGAAGAGUAGAAGACUGAAAAUCAAAUGGAUCUUGCGACUAUAUGCCUUUGUGUCUGUUUUGAAGUUUGUUUGAUUGUGAAAUAUUAAAGUUAUGAUUUAUGAACACAAUCCAAUUAAAGUCUGUUCCUUUGCUGGAGAGUCUUUCUAGUGGUCAUUGAUGAUUACCUCAUGGUAUGUGCCACUAAAGGUUUACAUCCUGUUCAUUUCACUAUUUGGUUUAGUUAGGUAGAUUAUAUUCAAAUCCACUCAAUGGAUUCACGUCUAUUGCCAUCAUUUUUUUGGGGGGGUAUUUGGAGAGGAGGAAGAGAGAAAGAGGAGAGAGAAAUGCUACUUAAGCUAAAAGUAGUAAAAUUUUCCAACUCGUUUAAACUAUACACAUGUUAAUUGUCACAUUAUUAGGAGUGAAUUCAACUCAAGGAGCAAUUAGAAAUCAAUUUAACUUUAGGGCCAAACGUGUCUUUUUUGAAACUUAAUGAAAAAAAUCCAAUCUUCAAGGACCAAAAAUGAUGUUUUAAAACUCGGGAUGAAAUAGAAAUCAAGUCCUAUAGACUGAAAGUGUAUUUUACUUUUCUCUCUAUUCCUUUUUUUUUAAGACCUGUACAAAUCACAAGAAGGAACAAGCUACAGGCAGGGGAAAAGAUAACCCCCUCCCAAUAUACAGGUAAUUGUAAAGAGGGAUGCUGAACGAGCAUAAGCCAUUUCUUGGAAUAGGAUGAGUUAGAAGCCAAUAUACUGCAUUAAUCAAUUCUUAUGACAUUUCUUUGGAAUAGAAUGAGUUAGAAGCCAAUAUACUGCACUAAUCGCUGUUAUAACUUUUUUUUUGGAAUAGGAUGAAUUAGAAGCCAAUAUACUGCACUAAUAAUAGUUUUAGCAUUUGAAUAGGAGUUAGAACCCAAAUAUACUGCACUAAUCAUUGUUAUAGCACUUCUUGGAAUAGAAUGAGUUAGAAGCCACUAAUCAUUGUUAUUGCAUUUCCUGGAAUUUUCUCACAUUAUGGGCCAGUAAAGUUUUCCAUUAGAUGUUUGCAAAGUUUAUUAUAAAUUGUUAUAUUAUUAGAAAACCUGUUUUAGAGUAUUUAAUUUAAAAACAUAGGUUCCAUUUAAAAUCUAGCUCCCUGUCCCUCUAGCUGGGAUUGAUUUGUUUAUUCUCAUAUUUAUACUUGUAAUCACACAAUGAAAUUGUAAUUUGAUCCAUAAUUCUGUCUGUAUUCUUGGUAGGAUAUGGGCGUCACCUUAUUUAUUAUUAUUUUUUAAAACUUUUUUGGAUAAGAACACACAUAAUAUUUUGUUCAUGUGUUGAAGACUUGCUUCAUGUCUAUUCAUAAACAAGGCUUGAGGUCGGGUGGAUUUAUUGGCAGAAUUUAAGAACAAGCAUCUUGAUAUUGUUAUUCGUGUUCUUUCAAAUGUGUUCUAUGUGUUUCUUUACAAUCAAGUCUAAUGGCCUUUUGCUUUUUAGAAUCACGUAACCAAAUUUGAUUUCAAAGGAAUUUCCUGGUCAUAAAUUUGAAGUUUUUAUGUGAACAUUGGUCUUAAUGUUUCACUGCAUGACUGUUUGAACUUCUUCAGGAUGUGUUGCCAAUAUGACUUGACAUAUGGAUUUCCAUUUUCGUCCUAUUUCGAUAUAUAUGAUUAUCAAGUUCUAUUUGCUUUCAUGUUGUGUGAGCUUUUCCUUGAAAAUUUGUUUGUUAUUAAUAUUUGCAUCUUCAAAAUACUUGUACUCGUAUUAUGGUUACAUCUAUAUUGGAUUGCAUUUAAGCUGA